rnacentral:rRNA from 1 species
CGAGCGGUAUUUGUUCUUCGGAACARAGAGAGCGGCGUACGGGUGCGGAACACGUGUGCWACCUGCCUUUAUCAGGGGGAUAGCCUUUCSAAAGGAAGAUUAAUACCCCAUAAUAUAUUUGAUGGCAUCRUUGAAUAUUGAAAACUCCGGUGGAUAGAGAUGGGCACGCGCAAGAUUAGAUAGUKGGKAGGGUAACGGCCUACCAAGUCAAUGAUCUUUASGGGGCCUGAGAGGGKGAUCCCCCRCACUGGUACUGAGACACGGACCAGACUCCUACGGGAGGCAGCMGUGAGGAAUAUUGGACAAUGGGUGARARCCUGAUCCAGCCAUCCCGCGUGAAGGACGACGGCCCUAUGGGUUGURAACUUCUUUUGUAUAGGGAUAAACCUUUCCACGUGUGGAAAGSUGAAGGUACUAUACRAAUAAKCWCCGGCUAACUCCGUGCCASCAGCCGCGGUARUACGGAGGGUGCAAGCGUUAUCCGGAUUUAUUGGGUUUAAAGGGUCCGUAGGCGGAUCUGUAAGUCAGUGGUGAAAUCUCAUAGCUUAACUAUGAGACUGCYMUUGAUACUGYMGGUCUUGAGUAAAGUAKAAGUGGCUGGAAUAAGUAGUGUAG